rnacentral:lncRNA from 1 species
AAAUGUCAAAAAUUUCAAAAGGUUCAAAAUGCUACAAAAUUGAUGAAACUUAACAGGAUUGUUGACUGUCAAAUCUGCAUGAGACUUUUGAAGUUGGAAUUUCAAAAAUGGCUACCGUUGCCAUGGAAACUGGAAAAAUGUCAAAUAUUUUCGAAAUGCUCCAAACUUAGUGAAACUUAAUUUUAUUGUAAACUGGCAUGUAUAGAUGAGACUUUUGACUUUGAAAAUUUCAAAAUGGCUGCCGUUGCCAUGGAAACAGCAAAAAUGUCAUGUUUUUAAAAAUGAUCUACAUGUACUGAAAAUUUACAGAAAAAUGUAUAGCCAUGCAAAUAUGUGCAUUCACUAUUAAAAGUUUUUGAAAUGGCUGCCGCUUAGUGGCAAUGGGGGAAGGGGUGACAUCCGCUAUUGCUUGCAAUAGCAAUUCUAGUUAUUCUUAUUCUUCCAAUGAUUUUGUCCGGCAGUUUUCUUGGAGACAAUGGAACCAAUCUUAAUGAUAGUUGACUAUAAUGAGGAACACAAAAUUCCGGGUUGCAGUAGGUCAUAAGACCAUUAAAAAUGGCUGCCGUUACCAUGGAAACGGAACAAAUGUGAAAAAUUCAAUUUUUGGGUUUUGGUGAAUAAUUUGGAGAUGCUUAAACUCAGAAUCAUUAUAUUUUGAUACAAUGUAGGUACCGGCCAUAUACUGGUUUUGGAUGAUUUUGGCAAUCAUUGGAACUACUAUGUUGUCAUGGAAACUACACCAAAAAUUUCCAAAAUAUCAAAAUGCUCCAAAUUUUUUGAAACCUUAGCAUAACGAUGAGCAAC